UCGAACGGAAAGGCCCUGCUUGCAGGGUACUCGAGUGGCGAACGGGUGAGUAACACGUGGGUGAUCUGCCCUGCACUUCGGGAUAAGCUUGGGAAACUGGGUCUAAUACCGGAUAGGAGCCAUCUUUAGUGUGGUGGUUGGAAAGUUUUUUCGGUGUAGGAUGAGCUCGCGGCCUAUCAGCUUGUUGGUGGGGUAAUGGCCUACCAAGGCGGCGACGGGUAGCCGGCCUGAGAGGGCGUACGGCCACAUUGGGACUGAGAUACGGCCCAGACUCCUACGGGAGGCAGCAGUGGGGAAUAUUGCACAAUGGGCGCAAGCCUGAUGCAGCGACGCCGCGUGGGGGAUGAAGGCCUUCGGGUUGUAAACUCCUUUCGCUAGGGACGAAGCUUUGUGGGACGGUACCUAGAUAAGAAGCACCGGCUAACUACGUGCCAGCAGCCGCGGUAAUACGUAGGGUGCGAGCGUCGUCCGGAAUUACUGGGCGUAAAGGGCUCGUAGGUGGUUUGUCGCGUCGUCUGUGAAAUUCUGGGGCUUAACUCCGGGCGUGCAGGCGAUACGGGCAUAACUUGAGUGCUGUAGGGGUAACUGGAAUUCCUGGUGUAGCGGUGAAAUGCGCAGAUAUCAGGAGGAACACCUAUGGCGAAGGCAGGUUACUGGGCAGUUACUGACGCUGAGGAGCGAAAGCAUGGGUGGCGAACA
rnacentral:rRNA from 1 species